AAAUCCAUGCCUUCUGACCCAUUAAUUGACGAUACUCCCAGUGCUGCCCUCUGAAAGAAAAAGGAAAACAGCAGCACCAGAAAGGAGGAUUUGCAGCCAAAACCUUGGUUGAGCCCCUUUCUCCAAGCUUCAAGCCUUGUCACUCCUGUCCAGUUGUCUUUGGAGAAAAAAAGCAACAACAAAAUCAGUCAAUUAGGAAGACUGGUCUCAGCUUAAUUCUUAAUAAAUCCAACACAAGAUCAAUGAAUUGAAGUGAUGGCGGUGAAUGCUUUAUGAUGUCAACUCUCAUAAAAUGGGAACAGAUUGUUUCCACAGCAAACAUCUAGCAAAUACAAGUCCAGCUAGAAGGAGGAGGUGCAUUGGAUGGUGUUGGCUUAUUAAACAUAGUGAAAACAUUUUGGACAAAACUGGGGCCCCAACAGUCCCAAGUUGGUACCGUGAACAGCUGAUACUGUUCGGUGAACCUGAUCAGAAGAGAGAGUACAUACCUUGUGGUCAAGGCCGUGAGUUUGUUUUUAUGAUGCAAUGGUAGUUGCUAAUAACUUUUGUUGGAAAACCUGAUACUUGAGAAAUGGUUUUGUCUCAGUUAGGAGCAGAGAAGAAAGUUGAGAGCAGUUUCUGGCUUGUCAGUAAUCCUUUCAUAUGAGUAACCAAAGAAAAAUCAUUCUAUUUCCUGAUGGUGGCUUAGAAACAAGGA
rnacentral:lncRNA from 1 species